UACGAAGGGUGCUAGCGUUGUUCGGCGUUACGGGGCGUAAAGCUCGAAUCGGCGGGUCGUUAAGUUGGGGGUGAAAUCCCGGAGCUCAACUCCGGAACUGCCUUCAAAACUGGCGACCUGGACUCAAGCAGAGGCAAGUGGAAUUGCGAGUGUAGAGGUGAAAUUCGUAGAUAUUCGCAGGAACACCAGUGGCGAAUGCGCCUUGCUGGGCUUGUAGUGACGCUGAGACGCGAAAGCGUCGGGAGCAAACAGG
rnacentral:rRNA from 1 species